rnacentral:lncRNA from 10 species
GUCUCCUUGACAUUCCCUUGGGCUAGUUCUUAUCAUUUGGCUGCUACUUCUUCCAUCAUAAUUAUCUUCUAAGGGUGGUUGGAGAGUUUGAGUCCCUACAGACCAGUACAAACCUUACAUCGGAAAACGCAGAGCUGAGGUGUGACCUUGGUGAGUUUAUCCAGUGACUGAAAUUCUCCCCAGCUGUGAUUUAUGAUCUGUUUAUAUACAGUCUGCCAGACCAUACUGCCAUAAAGCCUUCAAGAUUCCCAGAUUCCUGACUCUUGGUAAAAAGGCAAGAAGCUGGACAAUUAUUUCCUCAAAUGAAAAAACUUGAACAAGUAACUUUAUCAAAGUUACCAAACCUUGGACUUUGCAUCCUUCUUCGGAUAGGAUUCUAAUUCUAGUGCCCCUACCUCAUUUUAGAAGUAACAGAAGAGAAGACACAGUCAAAUUCAAGCUUCAAAGGGGAGGUGUGGGCAUUAAUAUUGAAAAUAAUUGGACACAUGCUUGGCUAGUCAGAUGGAGUUUUUCCUCUGCCCUAUUUAUUUUGUACCACCAACACCCUAGAUAGAAGUUUCCCUGCAUGGGGAAUGGAGUGAAGAGAAUUCACAGGCGAGUGAGAGAACUGGAUUGUUCAGAAAUAGUAAGCCUGUACAAUUUUAUCAAGAAUUUACAGUCUAAACUGAAUUCUUAAAAGGUAUAAUGCUACUAGAAUCCUACAGCAUGCUCUGUGACCCAUAUUUCCUGCAGAAUGAUAUUUCAGUUAAUUCUACGGAGAAAUGUCUUUUAAAGCUCUUAUAUGAAAUGAUACAGUUCUCAUAUCACAAAUUUAAAUGUUCAAGAAAUGUAAUUUCUCAUCUUAUCCAGAGUUUUAUCUAAAUGUCUAAAAUGUAGAGAAUGCCAGGCCAGAGUAAAGUUGAGGAAUUUAGGAGCAGGGAAUAGGUGAAGAGGAACUGGGAAGAGGCUAAAAUGAAGCAUUUAGGCCUCCUCAUUCCUUUCUAAUCUCAAAGUGUCAGUCCAGAGUUUGUGGCUCCAUACUCCUUAUCUUGGCUGUAAGAUAACUCCUGGACUAGCUUCUCCCAGCUGCAUAUGAAUGUCUAAAUGCUUAGGACUGUGUCAAGAUUGAUGCUUACCCACAUUUUUUCCAAGAAUGGAGGAGUGAUCAACUAAGCAAACAUUUGGUUAAUGAUUAAGCUAAUACCUUGGUAAAUAAAUAUGGUAAAUAAGUAUCUGGAAGAAACAUAGAAAAUGUCCUCCUCACCCAGGAUAAAGGAUUACUUAAUUCAUUGAUUAAUUCAAUUGUUUGCAUUUUCAGUAAAUACAUAUUGAGAUUUGUUUUAAUGUGCAAAAAAUUGUCAAGCUCUUUUAUUUUUUCAAUAAUAAAAAAAUACAACCUUUGAUCACAAAGAGAUGACAUA